CCAAUUGCUUUAUCAACAGGAAGACCUGUCAACUCAGCAAUUUUUGUGUUCCACCCAUUAACAAGUCCAUCAACAUCCACUGCCAAAAUUGGCACUGUAGCAGUUUCAAUUAAACGAACCAUCUCACUAGUUACUGCUUCCAGUUCUUGUAUCCCUUCAAUUUUUAGAUCAUUGAGCCUCGAAUGAAUUGUUUUGGUAUCCAUAUCCAUUGUUUCAGUUUCCUUGAAAGUAUUCCUCAG
rnacentral:misc_RNA from 1 species